CCAGGGUCCCUGAAGAGGGAAGACACGCGGAAACAGAUCCUCCCAAGAAGGUGAUCACGGUGAUUCAAAACCCCACGCCAAUUCGAGAAGGAGACACGGUGACCCUUUCCUGUAACUACAAUUCCAGUAACCCCCGUGUUACCCGGUAUGAAUGGAAACCCCGCAGCACCUGGGAGGAGCCAUCGCUUGGGGUGCUGAAGAUCCAAAACGUUGGCUGGGACAACACAACCAUCGCCUGCGCAGCUUGUAACAGUUGGUGCUCGUGGGCCUCCCCUGUCGCCCUGAAUGUCCACUGUGAGUCCCUGGGCUAGGUAGGGGGAUCUGGGAGGUGGCCCGGCUGGGAUGAGGGGAUGAAGGCAACGAGGCCGGAGCCUGGGCCAGUGUCUUCAACAGAAUUGAGGGACAGGAGCUCAGCCUCAGGUCCUAGGGGAGGGGAGGCCUGGGGACAGCAAAAGGGACAGGGAGUGGAGAGAUCAGCUUGGGACCCUUGCCCUCCAGAUGCCCCCCGAGAUGUGAGGGUCCGGAAAAUCAAGCCCCUUUCCGAGAUUCACUCUGGGAACUCGGUCAGCCUCCAGUGUGACUUCUCAAGCAGCCACCCCAAAGAAGUCCAGUUCUUCUGGGAGAAAAAUGGCAGCCUUCUGGGGAAAGAAAGCCAGCUGAAUUUUGACUCCAUCUCCCCAGAAGAUGCUGGGAGUUACAGCUGCUGGGUGAACAACUCCAUAGGACAGACGGCGUCCAAGGCCUGGACACUCAAAGUGCUGUGUGAGUGAGGGCCGGAGGCUGGGAGUGGAGCAGAGCGGGGACCAGUGGCCUGCCUGGUAGUGACUUCACGCCCCCUCCCCCUGCCCGCCAUGCAGAUGCACCCAGGAGGCUGCGUGUGUUCAUGAGCCCGGGGGACCAAGUGAUGGAGGGGAAGAGUGCAACCCUGACCUGUGAGAGUGACGCCAACCCUCCCGUCUCCCACUACACCUGGUUUGACUGGAAUAACCGAAGCCUCCC
rnacentral:sRNA from 1 species